rnacentral:rRNA from 1 species
AACGCGAAGAACCUUACCAUCCUUUGACAUGGCGUGUUACCCAGAGAGAUUUGGGGUCCCCUUCGGGGGCGCGCACACAGGUGCUGCAUGGCUGUCGUCAGCUCGUGUCGUGAGAUGUUGGGUUAAGUCCCGCAACGAGCGCAACCCACGUCCUUAGUUGCCAUCAUUCAGUUGGGCACUCUAGGGAGACUGCCGGUGAUAAGCCGCGAGGAAGGUGUGGAUGACGUCAAGUCCUCAUGGCCCUUACGGGAUGGGCUACACACGUGCUACAAUGGCGGUGACAGUGGGACGCGAAGGAGCGAUCUGGAGCAGAUCCCAAAAAGCCGUCUCAGUUCGGAUUGCACUCUGCAACUCGAGUGCAUGAAGGCGGAAUCGCUAGUAAUCGUG